AAAGGAUGGUGUUGCUGCUGGGAGAUUUCUAGAACUGGAUCUUUGUUCCUGCCCAAAGCAGCUCCUUGCUGACUUGCAAGUGUAAAGAGGCAACAAGACAGAGUCUGGUCUUGAUGACAGUAACUAUGAGAGAUCACAGUUUGGCAUGAGUUCUUGCACGGUGCCAUGAACACCAAGAACACUUCCACCAUGGCAAAGGCUUCUGCAUUCCAAGUAUUUGCUGAAUCACAAGGAAAAGUCACACUCUCUCUGACUUUUCAAGACUGAAAGGAAGACCUGCAGGUGCACUCCAUGUAGAACAUACAGCACCACACUGUGCUUUUUGGACACAUUUGUAUAAUGUUGCCUUCAAUGGAGUAGUGAAAAGAAGCUUGGAGUGAUAGAGAAAGCAAAAGCAUUAUCAGACAUUGUCCUGCCA